rnacentral:rRNA from 1 species
UACGUAGGCAGCGAGCGUUGUUCGGAGUUACUGGGCGUAAAGGGUGCGUAGGCGGUUGUUUAAGUUUGGUGUGAAAUCUCCCGGCUCAACUGGGAGGGUGCGCCGAAUACUGAAUGACUAGAGUGCGGGAGAGGAGAGUGGAAUUCCUGGUGUAGCGGUGAAAUGCGUAGAUAUCAGGAGGAACACCGGUGGUGUAGACGGCUCUCUGGACCGUAACUGACGCUGAGGCACGAAAGCGUGGGUAGUAAACAGG